rnacentral:rRNA from 1 species
UGUCAGGCGGCGAGACUAUACAUGCAGUCGUAACAAUGUGCUAAUACUCCACCGGAGCUUGCUCCACCGGAAAAAGAAGAGUGGCGAACGGGUGAGUAACACGUGGGUAACCUGCCCAUCAGAAGGGGAUAACACUUGGAAACAGGUGCUAAUACCGUAUAACAAUCAAAACCGCAUGGUUUUGAUUUGAAAGGCGCUUUCGGGUGUCGCUGAUGGAUGGACCCGCGGUGCAUUAGCUAGUUGGUGAGGUAACGGCUCACCAAGGCCACGAUGCAUAGCCGACCUGAGAGGGUGAUCGGCCACAUUGGGACUGAGACACGGCCCAAACUCCUACGGGAGGCAGCAGUAGGGAAUCUUCGGCAAUGGACGAAAGUCUGACCGAGCAACGCCGCGUGAGUGAAGAAGGUUUUCGGAUCGUAAAACUCUGUUGUUAGAGAAGAACAAGGAUGAGAGUAACUGUUCAUCCCUUGACGGUAUCUAACCAGAAAGCCACGGCUAACUACGUGCCAGCAGCCGCGGUAAUACGUAGGUGGCAAGCGUUGUCCGGAUUUAUUGGGCGUAAAGCGAGCGCAGGCGGUUUCUUAAGUCUGAUGUGAAAGCCCCCGGCUCAACCGGGGAGGGUCAUUGGAAACUGGGAGACUUGAGUGCAGAAGAGGAGAGUGGAAUUCCAUGUGUAGCGGUGAAAUGCGUAGAUAUAUGGAGGAACACCAGUGGCGAAGGCGGCUCUCUGGUCUGUAACUGACGCUGAGGCUCGAAAGCGUGGGGAGCAAACAGGAUUAGAUACCCUGGUAGUCCACGCCGUAAACGAUGAGUGCUAAGUGUUGGAGGGUUUCCGCCCUUCAGUGCUGCAGCUAACGCAUUAAGCACUCCGCCUGGGGAGUACGACCGCAAGGUUGAAACUCAAAGGAAUUGACGGGGCCCGCACAAGCGGUGGAGCAUGUGGUUUAAUUCGAAGCAACGCGAAGAACCUUACCAGGUCUUGACAUCCUUUGACCCCUCUAGAGAUAGAGCUUCCCCUUCGGGGGCAAAGUGACAGUGUGCAUGUUGUCGUCAGCUCGUGUCGUGAGAUGUGGGUAGUCCCGCACGAGCGCACCCUAUGUAGUGGCAUCAUCAGUGGGCACUCUAGCAGACUGCGGUGACAACGGAGGAGGUGGGGAUGACGUCAUCAUCAUGCCCUUAUGACUUGCUACACGGCUAAUGAGUACACAGUGCGAGUCGAGGCUAGCUAUCUCUUAGCCUCUCUAGAUUCGGAGUGCGGGU